rnacentral:rRNA from 1 species
GUUCGGAGCCGAACUGAUUUAGAAGCUUGCUUCUAUGACGUUAGCGGCGGACGGGUGAGUAACACGUGGGCAACCUGCCUGUAAGACUGGGAUAACUUCGGGAAACCGAAGCUAAUACCGGAUAGGAUCUUCUCCUUCAUGGGAGAUGAUUGAAAGAUGGUUUCGGCUAUCACUUACAGAUGGGCCCGCGGUGCAUUAGCUAGUUGGUGAGGUAANGGCUCACCAAGGCAACGAUGCAUAGCCGACCUGAGAGGGUGAUCGGCCACACUGGGACUGAGACACGGCCCAGACUCCUACGGGAGGCAGCAGUAGGGAAUCUUCCGCAAUGGACGAAAGUCUGACGGAGCAACGCCGCGUGAGUGAUGAAGGCUUUCGGGUCGUAAAACUCUGUUGUUAGGGAAGAACAAGUACAAGAGUAACUGCUUGUACCUUGACGGUACCUAACCAGAAAGCCACGGCUAACUACGUGCCAGCAGCCGCGGUAAUACGUAGGUGGCAAGCGUUAUCCGGAAUUAUUGGGCGUAAAGCGCGCGCAGGCGGUUUCUUAAGUCUGAUGUGAAAGCCCACGGCUCAACCGUGGAGGGUCAUUGGAAACUGGGGAACUUGAGUGCAGAAGAGAAAAGCGGAAUUCCACGUGUAGCGGUGAAAUGCGUAG